rnacentral:rRNA from 1 species
UACAGAGGGUGCAAGCGUUGUUCGGAAUUAUUGGGCGUAAAGCGCGUGUAGGCGGCUUCGUAAGUCGGAUGUGAAAGCCCUCGGCUUAACCGAGGAAGUGCGUUCGAAACUGCGAGACUUGAGUACCGGAGAGGGUGGCGGAAUUUCCGGUGUAGAGGUGAAAUUCGUAGAUAUCGGGAGGAACACCAGCGGCGAAGGCGGCCACCUGGACGGAUACUGACGCUGAGACGCGAAAGCGUGGGGAGCAAACCGG